rnacentral:tRNA from 1 species
GACGAGGUUUCCAAGUGGUUAAGGCGUUGGACUGGUAAUCGAAUGUGCUCUGCACGCGUGGGUUCGAAUCCCAUCCUCGUUG